AUGUACAGAGAGUUUAAUAUAAAUUAUAGAUGAUCAAAUCUAGAGAUAUCCUAUCUGGCUAAGAUAGGUGCCGACACAUUGUCAGCGAUUGCGGAUCAGAAUUUUUUACUAAGCUCGAUCAAAAUCAUCAUAAGAAAAUUUUUGACUAGAUUAAUUUUAGAGAGCAGCAACUGUGGAGAGGUACUCUGGUUGUCAAGAAAUAACCGCACGCACAUUUUGAGAUUGCUAAUAUCACAGAUCUCGCUUAGUGGAGGAGGA
rnacentral:lncRNA from 1 species